CCUCCGCAAUGCGAGCAAUCGCGACGGGGGACCCCAAGUGCCACUCUUAACGGGGUGGCUUUUCAUAAGUGUAAAAAGCUUUUGGAAUAAGAGCUGGGCAAGACCGGUGCCAGCCGCCGCGGUAACACUGGCAGCUCAAGUGGUGGCCGUUUUUAUUGGGCCUAAAGGGUCCGUAGCCGGUUUGGUCAGUCCUUUGGGAAAUCUGAUAGCUCAACUAUUAGGCUUUCGGGGGAUACUGCCAGACUUGGAACCGGGAGAGGUAAGAGGUACUACAGGGGUAGGAGUGAAAUCUUGUAGUCCCUGUGAGACCACCUGUGGCGAAGGCGUCUUACCAGAACGGGUUCGACGGUGAGGGACGAAAGC
rnacentral:rRNA from 1 species